rnacentral:misc_RNA from 1 species
GAUGAAGAACGCAGCGAAAUGCGAUACGUAAUGUGAAUUGCAGAAUUCAGUGAAUCAUCGAGUCUUUGAACGCACAUUGCGCCCCCUGGUAUUCCGGGGGGCAUGCCUGUCCGAGCGUCAUUGCUGCCCUCAAGCACGGCUUGUGUGUUGGGCCUCCGUCCUCCUCCCGGGGGACGGGCCCGAAAGGCAGCGGCGGCACCGCGUCCGGUCCUCGAGCGUAUGGGGCUUCGUCACCCGCUCUUGUAGGCCCGGCCGGCGCUUGCCGACACAUCAAUCUUUUUUCCAGGUUGACCUCGGAUCAGGUAGGGAUACCCGCUGAACUUAAGCAUAUCAUAAGCGGAGGA